AUACAAAAGCGGGUUGCAUUAACUAGUAAUCUGGG
rnacentral:sRNA from 1 species